rnacentral:snRNA from 1 species
GGAGGUGAGGACAAUGGAGGUACAGCACGGCACCUCACAGAACACCACAGCUGACCUGGCUGGCUAGGUGUGGCUCCCCUUCCUCCCUCCCCACUUCAUGUGUGUCCCUCCUAAAGGAAGCUGUGAGCUCAGGUGAUCAACUGGAUGACCACCCUGGACAGAGGAGGCAUGACAAGGGUACACAAGUAGUUGUGCUCCCCUGCUUGGAUCCCCAAAUCAGUGCUCAGGGUCCAUUUGUAGGAGGAUGUAGGGUCUUUCGAAUCUCCACACUGGCUGGGGAGCCAGCUGAGU